UACGUAGGGGCUAGCGUUGUCCGGAAUCAUUGGGCGUAAAGCGCGUGUAGGCGGUCCGGUAAGUCCGCUGUGAAAGUCGGGGGCUCAACCCUCGGAUGCCGGUGGAUACUGUCGGGCUUGAGUACGGAAGAGGCGAGUGGAAUUCCUGGUGGUAGCGGUGAAAUGCGCAGAUAUCAAGGAGGAACACCAAUUGCGAAGGCAGCUCGCUGGGACGUUACUGACGCUGAGACGCGAAAGCGUGGGGAGCAAACAGG
rnacentral:rRNA from 1 species